UAGUGAUUCAAUCCAAUAUGUAAUAAAACCUCCUCCCCGGAGGAAGCUAUGUAAAGAAUCACAUUAUUAGCUGGACAGACUUAAUAAUGCUGAGUCUCUUCAGAAGCAGUGAUGGUCAUUUUGUUUUCCUCUGGUUGCUUAUAUAUAGCGUAUAUCACUUAUAUAUAGUGAUUUCUAUAACACCAGGGAGAGCUUGAGAAUAUUUCCCUUAACAUGAAGGUAUGUAGCAGGCUCUGGAAGAUUAGAACUGCAGCAGUGUGGAAGAUGGGGGUCAAUCAUGGAGAUGUUGGAGUAUGCCGAUGACUUCCUCAUUUCCAACGAAGCCGUGGAAACCAGCUCAUCACCAGAGAUCCCCACUCUGUUCUCUCAGAGUGACAAUUGUCUCAUUUCCACUGCGGCAAUGGAAAAGUGUUCCUUUGCUGCCACUGUGGCAAAAGAACCUGGCUGCUCUUUAAGGUCCCCUCUGCCCCCUCCUGCCAGUGCAUGGAGUGGGGCCUCUGCAGGAAAGCUCGGCUCCUCAGAUGCCUCAGUGACCAUCAGAGCCCCAUGUGGAGGUGGUGCACAGAGUGAGGAAACCGCUGAAGCUGGAUGAGGCCGUGAAAAGGCAGCUGGAGUGGCACAUGGUAAAAAUGCAGAUACAGCGGUGCUUCGGGCUACCCAAGAAGGUUCUGGCCUCCUACAAGAAGCUCUCAGAGACCACCCAGGAGCUACAAGACUACCAUCCUCCUCCACAGAGGCACACUGUGCUGCUCUACCGCUCACCCUUCCAGAAGUUCCUUAUAAACACAAGGAAGAACUCCUUUACUGUGAACACAGAAACAGGCUGUCCAGAGAGGUUGUGGAGUGUCCUUCUCUGGAGAUGUUGAAGACACAUCUGAAUGCUCUCCCAUGAGACCUGCUGUGGGAAACCUGCUUUACUAGGGGACUGGACUUGAUUUCCAGAGGUCCUUUCCAAUCUCUACUAUUCUGUAAUUCUGUUAAAUGUUCCUCAGAAUAAAAUAUAUAUAUGUAAAUAUAAAUAUAUAUAUUUUACCUGAUUAUAUACAUUUAAUAGCAUAAAUAUUUUUGUAAAAAGAACCUUUGCCUUAUAAAGCACAGCCUGUGGAAGAAAACUCACUAUGAAAUAAAGCAUUUGAAGAAAUUAGAACAGAAAACUAUAUUUCAGUUGCACAUGCCAUCAUCACUGUGCCUGUCUCCACUUGGGAGCUUGUUUUGUUACCUUCCUUUUGGCUCUUAUGAGUAUUCAUCAAUAACAUAUGUGCUUUUAGCAACCUGAAUAUUUUAUGAACUCUUCUACUCAUUUUUGGCAGCUUUUCUUUGUGCUGAAGAGAAUAGGAAAAUGUUAGGACACCAAGUAUCUUUUUGCAUCUUAUUCUGCUACAUUGUAUUCCAUCUCAAUUUCUAGAAGUGAUUAGGAUUUUCAUACUCUGUAUUGUGUUUCAGCCGCAAAAAUGAUUGCAAGGGCCUGGUCAGUGCAUAUAACUGAUAUUUUUUUCCACUGGAUUCCAUCAAAUUGAUUGUCCUUCAUAAAGAUAAAUUAACUAAGCAGAAAUGUCUGGGUUUAAUUUCAGUUGCAUUGUUUUCAGUGGUACAAAAUAUACUUCUCUGGUUACAAUAGCAUCCAGCAGGUUUUGUAUAUUGGGUGAUGAAGGGUGGAUCCCCAAAUGUCUGAAUGUUCAUCUCUGAUAAACACUCAGUAAUCUGGCUGUCUGACAUACCUGCUGAGUCCUCAGUUUAUAAAAGUGGAAAUUUAAUGUGGACAAGACAUAAUGUGAAAUCCCUGGUUCAUUGCAAUUCUAUCUGGUUUUAUACAGUUCCUGCUUUCCCCACCUUUGUAGCUUCUUUUUGGGUAAAGAUUGAUAGAGGAAGAGCCAUAUUUCUAGGGUCAG
ensembl:lncRNA